rnacentral:rRNA from 1 species
GAUCAUGGCUCAGGAUGAACGCUAGCUACGGGCUUAACACAUGCAAGUCGAGGGGCAUCAGUUUGGUUUGCUUGCAAACCAAAGCUGGCGACCGGCGCACGGGUGAGUAACACGUAUCCAACCUGCCUCAUACUCGGGGAUAGCCUUUCGAAAGAAAGAUUAACAUCCGAUAGCAUAUAUUUCCCGCAUGGGUUUUAUAUUAAAGAAAUUCGGUAUGAGAUGGGGAUGCGUUCCAUUAGUUUGUUGGGGGGG